UGGGGAAUAUUGGACAAUGGGCGAAAGCCUGAUCCAGCCAUGCCGCGUGAGUGACGAAGGCCUUAGGGUUGUAAAACUCUUUCGUCGGGGACGAUAAUGACGGUACCCGAAGAAGAAGCUCCGGCUAACUUCGUGCCAGCAGCCGCGGUAAUACGAAGGGAGCUAGCGUUGUUCGGAAUCACUGGGCGUAAAGGGCGUGUAGGCGGCCUGCCAAGUCAGAUGUGAAAGCCCCGGGCUUAACCUGGGAACUGCAUUUGAGACUGGCCGGCUAGAGGUUGGAAGAGGAGAGUGGAAUUCCCAGUGUAGAGGUGAAAUUCGUAGAUAUUGGGAAGAACACCAGUGGCGAAGGCGGCUCUCUGGUCCACACCUGACGCUGAGGCGCGAAAGCGUGGGGAGCAAACAGGAUUAGAUACCCUAGUAGUCCCUGAGCGGGCUGGCAAGGCGCAU
rnacentral:rRNA from 1 species